rnacentral:rRNA from 1 species
GGACGAAAGUCUGACGCAGCAACGCCGCGUGAGGGAUGACGGCCUUCGGGUUGUAAACCUCUUUUGUCAGGGAAGAUGAUGACGGUACCUGACGAAUAAGUCACGGCUAACUACGUGCCAGCAGCCGCGGUAAUACGUAGGUGACAAGCGUUGUCCGGAUUUACUGGGCGUAAAGAGCGCGCAGGCGGUCGUUCAAGUCGAGUGUGAAAGCCCCCGGCUCAACGUGGGGAGGGUCAUUCGAUACUGAUCGACUCGAAGGCAGGAGAGGGUAGUGGAAUUCCCGGUGUAGUGGUGAAAUGCGUAGAUAUCGGGAGGAACACCAGUGGCGAAGGCGACUACCUGGCCUGUUCUUGACGCUGAGGCGCGAAAGCUAGGGGAGCAAACGGGAUUAGAUACCCCGGUAGUCUUAGCCGUAAACGAUGGAACACUAGGUGUUUGGUGGUAUCAACCCCGCCAGUGCCGAAGCUAACGCAUUAAGUGUCCCGCCUGGGGAGUACGGCCGCAAGGCUA